rnacentral:tRNA from 1 species
GCUCAGUUAGCGUCAUUUGGUGGAGCAUGUGACUAUUGAUCUCAGAUUGUGAGUUCAAGCCCCACAUUGGGUA